rnacentral:lncRNA from 1 species
UAUUGGAAUGGAAGGAAGCACUUCAAGAGGUUGGCAGAAUGAAAGGAUAUCAUGUCACUGAGUCGGAUGGGUAACUAUAUCACUUUUCCUUUUCAUUUACCAUUUUUCAUUUGCAUCUUUCUUAAUCAUUAAGGCUAGUUAGUUUAGGUUGAUGACACCUUAUGGUAUUCAUUUUCAGACAUGGAUCUAUAAUAGACAAAAUCCUCAC